rnacentral:rRNA from 1 species
GCCAAAGAGAGUAAUAGCCUCGUAUUUGAAAUAUUCUUUAUACCUAGCAGUAUCCUGAGUACGGCGAGACACGCGAAAUCUCGUCGGAAUCCGGGAGGACCAUCUCCCAACCCUAAAUACUCUCUAGUGACCGAUAGUGAACCAGUACCGUGAGGGAAAGGUGAAAAGUACCCCGGAAGGGGAGUGAAAUAGAACCUGAAACCGUGUGCCUACAACAAGUUCGAGCCCGUUAAUGGGUGAGAGCGUGCCUUUUGUAGAAUGAACCGGCGAGUUACGAUAUGAUGCGAGGUUAAGUUGAAGAGACGGAGCCGUAGGGAAACCGAGUCUUAAUAGGGCGGAUUAGUAUUAUGUCGUAGACCCGAAACCAUGUGACCUACCCAUGAGCAGGUUGAAGGUGCGGUAAGACGCACUGGAGGACCGAACCAGGGCACGUUGAAAAGUGCUUGGAUGACUUGUGGGUAGCGGAGAAAUUCCAAACGAACUUGGAGAUAGCUGGUUCUCUCCGAAAUAGCUUUAGGGCUAGCGUCGACAUUUGAGAAUCUUGGAGGUAGAGCACUGUUUGGAUGAGGGGGCCAUCUCGGUUUACUGAUUUCAGAUAAACUCCGAAUGCCAAUGAUUUAUGGUCGGCAGUCAGACUGCGAGUGCUAAGAUCCGUAGUCGAAAGGGAAACAGCCCAGACCACCAGCUAAGGUCCCAAAAUAAUUGUUAAGUGGAAAAGGAUGUGGGGUUGCACAGACAACUAGGAUGUUAGCUUAGAAGCAGCUAUUCAUUCAAAGAGUGCGUAAUAGCUCACUAGUCGAGUGACCCUGCGCCGAAAAUGUACCGGGGCUAAAACAAUUUACCGAAGCUGUGGAUAACACUUUAGUGUUAUGGUAGGAGAGCGUUCUAUGUGUGAAGAAGGUAUACCGUGAGGAGUGCUGGAACGCAUAGAAGUGAGAAUGCCGGUAUGAGUAGCGAAAGAUGGGUGAGAAUCCCAUCCACCGUAAGACUAAGGUUUCCAGGGGAAGGCUCGUCCGCCCUGGGUUAGUCGGGACCUAAGGAGAGACCGAAGGGUGUAUCCGAUGGACAACAGGUUGAUAUUCCUGUACUAGAGUAUGAAGUGAUGGAGGGACGCAGUAGGCUAACUAAAGCGGGCGAAUGGAAGUGCCCGUCUAAGCAGUGAGGUGUGAUAUGAGUCAAAUGCUUGUAUCUGUAACAUUGAGCUGUGAUGGGGAGCGAAGUUAAGUAGCGAAGUUAGUGACGUCACACUGCCGAGAAAAGCUUCUAGCGAUGUAUCAUACUCUACCCGUACCGCAAACCGACACAGGUAGUCGAGGCGAGUAGCCUCAGGUGAGCGAGAGAACUCUCGUUAAGGAACUCGGCAAAAUGACCCCGUAACUUCGGGAGAAGGGGUGCUGGCUUAAAGUCAGCCGCAGUGAAUAGGCCCAAGCAACUGUUUAUCAAAAACACAGCUCUCUGCUAAAUCGUAAGAUGAUGUAUAGGGGGUGACGCCUGCCCGGUGCUGGAAGGUUAAGAGGAGGGUUUAGCGCAAGCGAAGAUCUGAAUUGAAGCCCCAGUAAACGGCGGCCGUAACUAUAACGGUCCUAAGGUAGCGAAAUUCCUUGUCGGGUAAGUUCCGACCCGCACGAAAGGCGUAAUGAUUUGGGCACUGUCUCAACGAGAGACUCGGUGAAAUUUUAGUACCUGUGAAGAUGCAGGUUACCCGCGACAGGACGGAAAGACCCCAUGGAGCUUUACUGCAGUUUGAUAUUGAGUAUCUGUACCACAUGUACAGGAUAGGUAGGAGCCUACGAAGUCGGGACGCCAGUUUCGACUGAGGCGCUGUUGGGAUACUACCCUUGUGUUAUGGCUACUCUAACCCGGAUAGGUUAUCCCUAUCGGAGACAGUGUCUGACGGGCAGUUUGACUGGGGCGGUCGCCUCCUAAAAGGUAACGGAGGCGCCCAAAGGUUCCCUCAGAAUGGUUGGAAAUCAUUCGCAGAGUGUAAAGGUAUAAGGGAGCUUGACUGCGAGAGCUACAACUCGAGCAGGGACGAAAGUCGGGCUUAGUGAUCCGGUGGUUCCGUAUGGAAGGGCCAUCGCUCAACGGAUAAAAGCUACCCUGGGGAUAACAGGCUUAUCUCCCCCAAGAGUUCACAUCGACGGGGAGGUUUGGCACCUCGAUGUCGGCUCGUCGCAUCCUGGGGCUGUAGUCGGUCCCAAGGGUUGGGCUGUUCGCCCAUUAAAGCGGCACGCGAGCUGGGUUCAGAACGUCGUGAGACAGUUCGGUCCCUAUCCGUCGCGGGCGUAGGAAAUUUGAGAGGAUCUGCUCCUAGUACGAGAGGACCAGAGUGGACUUACCGCUGGUGUACCAGUUGUCUUGCCAAAGGCAUCGCUGGGUAGCUAUGUAGGGACGGGAUAAACGCUGAAAGCAUCUAAGUGUGAAACCCACCUCAAGAUGAGAUUUCCCAUAACUUUAUGUUAGU